UUCUAAAAAGACAUUUGUGCCCCUUCCUUU
rnacentral:piRNA from 1 species